UCAAGAAACUUCCACAAUGGGCGAAAGCCUGAUGGAGCGACGUCGCGUGAUGGACGAAGUGCUUCGGCACGUAAACAUCUUUUAUGUGGGAUGAAAUUAUUGACAGUACCACAUGAAUAAGGGGCUCCUAACUCUGUGCCAGCAGGAGCGGUAAUACAGAGGCCCCAAGCGUUAUCCGGAAUCACUGGGCGUAAAGGGCGUCGAGGCGGUUGUAUUAGUCGUUCGUAAAAUCUACGAGCUUAACUUGUAGGCGGCGAACGAAACGGUACGACUUGAGGUUUGGAGAGGUGCGUGGAACUCACGGUGUAGGGGUGAAAUCCGUUGAUAUCGUGGGGAACACCAAAGGCGAAGGCAGCGCACUGGCCAAAAUCUGACGCUCACACACGAAAGCUAGGGUAGCGAAGAGGAUUAGAUACCCAGGUAGUCCCUGAGCGGGCUGGCAAGGCGCAU
rnacentral:rRNA from 1 species